CUGAGAUCAGGGAACAAUAUAAUAUCAGCACAACAAUAAAAAACACAGCAAAUAUAUUACUUUCUGAUUACUUUCUACUUCUGCUAUUGAAAUACAACUGUAGAAAGGAUGUACAAAGGAUUAUUGCUCUGUGUACUACUCGUAAUCUGUGCAAAUGUACUGGCACAGCGAGAUCCCCCUAGGGCUGCAGAUGCAAAUGAAAGGGACGUCCGGGGAAUAAAGGAAUUUGUGCACUCUCUGGGCAAAUUUGGAAAAGCUUUUGUGGGAGGGAUACUAAAUCAAAAACGAGAUGCGGAGGCAGAAGGUGGGAGGGGUUGACUAGUUUCGGCAACAGAUAAACAGCAGUGAAGAACAAUGAUUUCUGAAACCAUAUAAAUGGCUGAAAUGAUUCUGAACAUUGCAGUGAUGAAGAAUAAGAAAAUCCCUUAGAUACCCUACCCACAAUCAUAUCCCUACACUAUACACACCUGUUUCUCUUUAGGGCAAAUAAACUGUAUAAAAAUA